AAGGGAGACUUCGAGAAGAAGUCAGCAAGGAAAUGGGGAGGGCUAGAAAAAUAAAGAAAGAGGUGUUGGGGCUAUUAGCUCAGGUGGUUAGAGCGCACCCCUGAUAAGGGUGAGGUCCCUGGUUCAAGUCCAGGAUGGCCCAUUGGGGGUAUAGCUCAGUUGGUAGAGCGCCUGCUUUGCAAGCAGGAUGUCAGCGGUUCGAGUCCGCUUACCUCCAGAAGAACAAGUUUAGCACGGUGAAAAGUCACUACUGCUGAACAAAAAGUUCAGUGAGAACCUUGAAAACUGCAUAGAAAAUAGGGAAGAUUAAGGUCAAGAAAAGAAGGGCCGAUGGUGGAUACCUAGGCACACAGAG
rnacentral:tRNA from 1 species